UACCAGCUCUCCGAGUGGUAGGGAUGAUUAUUGGGCUUAAAGCGUCCGUAGCCGGCUUAGCAAGUUUCCUGUUAAACUCAGCGACUCAAUCGUUGGAUCGCGGGAAAUACUACUAGGCUAGGAGGCGGGAGAGGUCAACGGUACUUCUGGGGUAGGGGUGAAAUCCUAUAAUCCCGGGAGGACCACCAGUGGCGAAGGCUGUUGACUAGAACGCGCUCGACGGUGAGGGACGAAAGCUGGGGGUAGCAAACCGGAUUAGAUACCCGGGUAGUCCCAGCUGUAAACGAUGCGAGCUAGGUGUUGGGAUGGCUACGGGCCAUUUCAGUGCCGCAGGGAAGCCAUUAAGCUCGCCGCCUGGGGAGUACGGCCGCAAGGCUGAACUUAAAGGAUUGGCGGGGAGCACCACAAGGCGUGAAGCUUGCGGUUC
rnacentral:rRNA from 1 species